UCGGAUUAGCUAGUUGGUGAGGUAAUGGCUCACCAAGGCGACGAUCCGUAACUGGUCUGAGAGGAUGAUCAGUCACACUGGAACUGAGACACGGUCCAGACUCCUACGGGAGGCAGCAGUGGGGAAUAUUGGACAAUGGGCGAAAGCCUGAUCCAGCCAUGCCGCGUGUGUGAAGAAGGUCUUCGGAUUGUAAAGCACUUUAAGUUGGGAGGAAGGGUUGUAGAUUAAUACUCUGCAAUUUUGACGUUACCGACAGAAUAAGCACCGGCUAACUCUGUGCCAGCAGCCGCGGUAAUACAGAGGGUGCAAGCGUUAAUCGGAAUUACUGGGCGUAAAGCGCGCGUAGGUGGUUUGUUAAGUUGGAUGUGAAAUCCCCGGGCUCAACCUGGGAACUGCAUCCAAAACUGGCAAGCUA
rnacentral:rRNA from 1 species